AUGUCAGGCAUUCAACAUCCAUUGGGCCAAACGCCUCAACCCAUCACCCUCCUCUUGUCGUCCGCAGUUUUGCAGUUAGCAGCCAUAUCCAGCGGUAGCUCCGCCUCGUCUCGGUUCGCGAGCAGCAGGGGAGCCCCUCUCCCCUACGCCGGGAACCCGCUGGACUACGGGCCAGCUGUUUUUUGCAGCUGCGGCACAAAGGCAGCCCGUCUGACCUUGUGGACAGACGGCAACCCGGGCCGGAGAUACCUGUCUUGCUCACGGGUGACGGUUUGCCGCCAUCCUCUCUGGCACUGGCUUUAUCCCAAGCCGAGCCCUUACGUGCGUGCGUGA
rnacentral:rRNA from 1 species